GAGAACGUGGUGUAACUGGAUGAACACAUCGGUCUACGAAACCGUUCGCGUAGCGUGGCGUAGCCAUAGAGUGAAGGUUCAAUUCCUUCCGUUCUCGCCA
rnacentral:tRNA from 1 species